CAGGUCGUGGAGGGCGGGGCCGGGCUGUAGGGGCCAGGCGCGCGCGGCGGCGCCACACCCUCAUUUCCCUCAUUUCCUCGCGCGCGCCGGAAGUGGCGGUGCUCCGCGGCGGCGCGCCGGGCCGGCCAGCGCAGGGCGCUGGCCAGGUGUGCAGUUCCCCAGGGCGGCGGCGCUGAGCGGCGGGCGCGAGAGGAUCUGAAAUACUACUUUUCAAAGGGCUCAUGGAAAAAUAGGCACCUGUGCUAGCAGAUCCUGAUUGCCGCUCUCCUACCAACUCACAGAAGAUACCAAAAAUAUCAAGAAAAGAAGGAUAUUUCUCAAAGCAGAAGUGCUGGCCUAUUUUAUGCCACUGUUUGGCCAACGUUCAAGUACUAUGAGUAUAGUUUUCUCCAGAAACACCUUAUCAAAAGGAUCCAUUUAGUGUUGUUCUUGGUACUCCACACAGUACUUGGCACACAGUAGGUACUCUCAAGCAUCUGUGGAAUAAAUGCUGCUUUCUGAUGAUCAAUUCCUUUGUUUCUAAAUACUUAACAUUU
rnacentral:lncRNA from 1 species